GUCUACGGCCAUGCUACCCUGAACAAGCCCGAUCCUGUCUGAUCUCGGAAGCUAAGCGGAGUCAGGCCUGGUUAGUACUUGGAUGGGAGACCACCUAGGAAGACCAGGUGCUAUGGUGU
rnacentral:rRNA from 1 species